UUGUGUGAGCAGGGGAAUGCAGGUUGGUCUACAGGAUGUUGUCAGGCUUUGAUAGCAGAGUAUGCCAAUCAGCUUUGAAAAAAAAUUUUUUUUUUAAAGAUCUUUAAAAACCCAUCUGGUUUUACAAGCUUCACUGGAUGUUUUCUGAAAUCAUCUCCUUCUGAUAAUUAAACACUAAUUAAUGCUGAUGGUGCUCUGGGUAGCGGCUUCCCCAAGAGAGUGUUGCAGGUAAGUGGGAGACAGUUUUAAGAGGCGACUGCUACAGCCCUGUAAUCCACACAUGCGAUUAGGAGAGACAGAUGACACCAAUUCUGAAUAAAAUAUUUACAUUUGAUGCGUUUCAUUUUUUUUCCCCCCUGUAGUCUCUGGUAAUAACUAUGCACAUUUAUCUUGCAUGUGCGGUUCUGGGAUACCAUGAGUCUCUUCAAUUAAACACAUUUGCAAGUAGGAAACAGUUUAAAAUGCUUGAAAAGUUUGUGAAUUCCAUACUAAUAUGAAAAAUGGUUUGUUUGCUUCCUUGCAAAGUUAAAUAUUCCACUCGUAACCGUAAUUUGCAAGCAGGCAGGUGUAAUGGACAUGCAAAAUCUUACCUUCAUAAGGUAUUAGCUGUGUAAUUAUACAAGGUUAUAGUGCAUCGUAUGCUGUUCCAUGUUGGCAAUUGUUCCACCUUUGAAGUUUGAAUGAAUAAUGCUAUGUCGUUAUAAUGAAUAUUUAUAGAAUACUGUAUACAUUCUCUUCCGUAUAAUCAACUGCCAAUGAUUAAGUGUGUGGUAAUUGUCUUAAAAGGCAUACAUCAACUCUUUGUUUAAAACUAUAAUCAAGGACGAGUCACGUCACUGUUGCCUGCAAUGCAGUCUUAACCGAGUCCAUUAGUUGAGCUUUUCGUUGUUGGAGGAGUCGAGUAGACCUGAUACCAGAGGUUUGCAAGCACCCAUUCAUCCACAAGGAGAGCAAUACCUGCAGCUAUAAGUCUCUCCUUUUCAAAGACCAAUUAUUUUCUGCCAUGCCAGUCUACCAACCCCCACUGUCAAUCUCAGGGUUUAACACCACACUACAGAGCCCAUCACUAUACUGAACCAGGAAUGAACGACCAGGCAAGCGCCCAGGCCAGGGUUGGUCAGCUCUGGUAUAGGAAAACCAAGCUUAUUUUGCAUUGUUACUAAUUGGCCCCUAAUUGAUCCAUUAAAGCGGUUGACUAUACAGCUAACUCUCCUCAGCUGGUUCCUUAGGUAUAAAUUUGUCGCCUUAGAAAUCUGUUUGAAAGCCAUCACUGCUGGCCAUCCAUGCCCCAUGUGACCACUUUAUGACCAAUGGGUGACAAAUAUUGUCUGAAUUCAGUCAGGCCGGUCUGCUGGAGAAAGAAAACUCAUCCACAACGGCAGCCAAUGGGAAAUACUGUAUCACGUGAAGCCGUUAUAUAACGCCAGGAAAAACAACUUCCAUCGUUUCCUGUUUCCAGCCUGAUACCGUGCCGUUUCACACACAGCUGAUACGAUCUGCGGUGGGGUGUAAGAAUUUUCCAGAACCCGUCCAAAGGGAGCCAAGAGUUUGCAUUUUGCAACGAGGGACGAGGUGCUCGCAACAACGGGAGACUGGAGUGGGACCUAACUGCUGGGGAAGCAAACAAGGAAACCAGAGAUCCUGUGUGCAUCUGGGAGAAGCUAAGAGUUCUGGGGGGUUUUUUUUUUUUUGCUCUCCACAAUCGCCCUAAUUUUGUUUGGAUUUCAAGGGACUGCUCAACACGAUGCAGGGCAGGCGGCUAAUCUCCCGAAAUCACAGCGCUCUGAGUGAGGAUUUGGCUAAAAGUAGCUUCUCCCGAUUUCUCUUCUUGGCAGCACAGUACCUGCCUCUUCUCCACCGGUGGCCCUGUCGCUCAAGCUGUUUUACAAGCACAGUUACAACAUUCCAGCGUUUUUUUAUUAUUAUCUUUUUUUAACAGGGAUCUUCACAGUUGAAAGAUAUGCGAAAUCACUGUUGGCACAACAAAUCGGCCCUGAAAUGGAUGGGCCAACAGACUGACAACACUGCCGCACUGCUGGCAUCGAGACACAGACACGCAGCCCGCGUCUCAGAUUCCUUCCCUGUAUGUCAUUCUUUUAUUAGCUAUUCAUCUUAUCAUUUUAUUUUGGAAGGGGGUGGGGAGUUCACAUGUAAGCUCUGCCUCAAGCAAAUGCUUAAUUUCCUCAAAUAGAGAUGGACACAAGGCAUGUUUUCAGUGGUUUAAAAAGUAAUGAAACCAUAAAAGAAAGGUCCCUUAGGUCUUCUGGCUCCCUCCUUUUCACAUGACGACAAUUUCCCCACGUCCAGUUUCAUGAAAAAUAACACAAAAAGGAAAUGAUACAAUAACAGCACUUUAUAGAAUAACAAUGUUUAUAUGGUAAUGCAAUUAGUGCAUAUUCAUUGCACUCUCAGAAGAAAGGGUUCCAGGAGGCUCCUGUGUGUCUCCAUAGAGGAACCCUGUCGGGUUGGAGGGUUUUUUUGUCAGGCACAAUGGUCUUUGGAGCUGCCACACUUUUCACACCUACCAUAGAGGGUUCCAUAAAGAGCUUUAAAAAAAAAAAAAAAAGGUUCCCUUAUGGAGACAUGCCAACAAACCAUUUUUUUUUCUGAGCAUGUAGCCACACACUGUGGAAGGGAUGUUAUCUUAAGGUCCAGGUCCUUUUUUCCCCCCACAUUUAACCCUUUGUUUCUUGGAAUGGUCAGUGUUCUAGUACUCCAUUGCUUUCAGUAGCGACUGUUACAUCAGCAUUAGAAUGUUCAGGAAAGAACAUUUUAGUCACAUAUUUGCGAUCUCACACCUUAAAAGGGUCAAGGGCACCAUUUGGUAAACCGCACAAUGCUUCUACCCUGCCCCUGUUUCAGCUCACAAUGCUUCUACCCUGCCUCUGUUUCA